rnacentral:tRNA from 1 species
GGAAGGGCUGUGGCACAGUGAUAGAGCAUCUGCUUUACAUGCAGGAGGUCCCAGCUUCAAUCCUUGGCAUUUCCA